rnacentral:rRNA from 1 species
CCUACGGGUGGCAGCAGUCGAGAAUCAUUCACAAUGGGGGAAACCCUGAUGGUGCGACGCCGCGUGGGGGAAUGAAGGUCUUCGGAUUGUAAACCCCUGUCAUGUGGGAGCAAAUUAAAAAGAUAGUACCACAAGAGGAAGAGACGGCUAACUCUGUGCCAGCAGCCGCGGUAAUACAGAGGUCUCAAGCGUUGUUCGGCAUCACUGGGCGUAAGGCGUGCGUAGGCUGUUUCGUAAGUCGUGUGUGAAAGGCGCGGGCUCAACCCGCGGACGGCACAUGAUACUGCGAGACUAGAGUAAUGGAGGGGGAACCGGAAUUCUCGGUGUAGCAGUGAAAUGCGUAGAUAUCGAGAGGAACACUCGUGGCGAAGGCGGGUUCCUGGACAUUAACUGACGCUGAGGCACGAAGGCCAGGGGAGCGAAAGGGAUUAGAUACCCCAGUAGUC